rnacentral:tRNA from 1 species
UUGGCCGUGCUGGUCUUGAACUCCUGACCUCAAGUGAUUUGCCUGCUUUGGCCUCCCAAAGUGCUGGGAUUACAGACAUGAGUCACCAUGCCCUGCCUGCAGCUUCUUCUUGAAACUAGAUAAAAGUAAUUGCUGUAAGAUUCAAAUCAACAGGUGUUCUGGACUUGGAAGAUUUGUUGAAUUACUAUGAAGUCACAUCUAAAGUUUGAAAGUCUCGCUCUGUCGCCAGGCUGGAGUGCACGCUGGAGCGCGAUCUUGUCUUACUACAACCUCUGCCUCCCAGAUUCAAGCGAUUUUCCUGCCUCAGCCUCCCGAGUAGCUGGGACUACAGGGACGCACCACCAUGCCCAGCUAAUUUUUGUAUUUUUAGUAGAGAUGUGGUUUCACCAUGUUGGCCAGGAUGGUCUUGAUCUCUUGACCUCGUGAUCCACCCGCCUCGGCUUCCCAAAGUGCUGGGAUUAUAGGCAUAAGCCACCACGCCUGGCCUGAAAUUAUUUUUCUAUACAGUUCUUAGAGGAAGUGUUUGGGUCACCUACAUAGGCAUGUAGUUCUUGACACUGGUUACUAGAGGAUUUAUAGAGGAUGUUCAUAUAUUCAACAAGCAUUUGUUGAAUACCUAUUAGGUGCUAGCCAUGGAAAUAUGGGAUUGAAAAAAACAGACAAAAAUCCCUAAUCUCUCUUACAAUCUAGUGAGGACAAUCAGACAGUACACAAAAUAAGCAUAAUAUAUAGUAAUCAUGUGGUAGUAAGUUCUAUAGAGCAAAAACAAGUUUAAAGAAGGAGGUUGGGGGGAGUGUUGAGAUGCAUAAGGUUUGCAGUUAUAAAUGUGGUGGUUAGGGAAUCAUUUGCUGAAAAAUGAACAUUGAGCAAAAACCUGAAGGAUGUUAAAGGAAUAAGAUACAUGUAAUCCAGAUGAAAGUUUUUUGGAUAAAGGAAAGAGCAAUUGCUAAAUCCCUGAGGUGGGAGUGGGCUGUUCAUAAGACAGCAAAGCAGCCAGGGUAGCUGAGUGAUUGACAGCGGAAGAUGGAAAAUGGGGAAUAGUUGGUGUAGGACCUAGUUGUGAGGAUAUUGACUUUGUUUUUUUUCCAAGACAGAGCUGUGCUCUGUCGCCCAGGCUAGAGUGCAGUGGCAUGAUCUUGGCUCACUGCAAUCUCCGCCUCCCGGGUUCAAGCAAUGCUCCUGCCUUAGCCUCCCCAGUAGCUGGGAUUACAGGCACCUGCCACCAUGUCCAAUUAAUUUUUGUAUUUUUAGUAGAGAUGGGGUUUCGCCAUGUUAGCCAGGCUGGUCUUGGACUCCUGACCUCAAGUGAUCUGCCCGCCUCAGCCUCCCAAAGUGCUGGGAUUACAGGCGUGAGCCACCAUGCCCACCCUAGGAUAUUUACUUUUAUUUUGAAUAAGGAUGCCACUGGAGAGCUUUGAGGAGAGGAUCAGUCUGGCUACUGGGUUGGGAAUUAAUCAUAGCAGGCAAAGGCAAAAGAAGUGAGGUUAGUUAGGAGGCUUUACAACAACCCAGAUGAGAGAUGGGAGGUUUUAGCCAGGGAGAUGGAGAUGUUGAGAGAGUAGCUGGACUCAGGAUUGUGACAGUGGACUGAAGGAAAAGCAGGUUUUGGGGGAAGAUUGCAUUUCUCCCUUCAACUUCAGUUACGUAGAUCACCCAUAUGCCACACAACUGCAACUCUGUAACAGCCAAUUUUUAGCUUCUUCCUUAUCUAAGCCAUCCUGUAGGCCAUAGGAAUUAAAACUAGGUUGGAUCAAGGAAAAGUGAAUGCUAGAUCCAUACAAAACUAUUUGGAUAUUUGCCUUUGUAUUUUAUUGUUUUGAAAUUAUUUUUAAUGGUUCAAUAAACUCUUACUAGAACUACAAGCAAUAUAAUUAUUUCCUCUGCUUUAUUAGAAAUGUUUUUGUAAUCAUGUUAAUUAUAUUACUUUUAACUAUAUAAGGCUUGUGUCUCUUUUUUAUAAAUUGAUGUUUAUAUCCUCUGUAAGAUAAAUAUAAAGGCUUUUUGUUCAUAUGAGGAUGUGCUGUAAGAUUGCAGGGAGUAUAAAAAUUGGCAAUGGAGUAGGUGACUUGUAUUAUUAGUCUGAUCUUAAUGUUGUAACAUACUGAUCAUGCAAAAUAUAUAAUUAGUUUGUUUUUGCUAUUUAAUAUGUGUAGGACUGUAACAAACAGACUAGAGAAGAUGGCCAUAAGUUACAAGAAAGCAAGUAAAUUACUAUCUAAUUAAAAGUAUUUGAUUCUAAUACUAGCAGAGUUCUGUCUAGAAAAUAAAUUAACUUUCUGUAUGCUUUUUUUGGUCUCAAUUUUCCAAUAAUUUCCCUCAACUCUGAUAUGUGUCUGUUGAAUAAUAUUUCUGAUGUUAAGAAUUAAAGGGGGUGUAGAUCAGUGGUAGGGCGCACGCUUAGCAUGCAUGAGGCCCUGGGUCAAUCCCCAGCACCUCCACAAAGGUUUUCUGGCUGGACACGGUGGCUCACACCUGUAAUCUCAGCAUUUUGGGAAGCUGAGUUGGACAGAUCACUAGAGGUCAGGAGUUCGAGACCAGCGUGGCCAACAUGGUGAAACCCUAUUUCUACUAAAAAUACAAAAAAAUUAGCCGGUCACGGUGGCACACACCUGUAAUCUCAGCUACUUGGGAGGCUGAGGCAUGACAAUCGCUUGAACCUGGAAGGCGG